rnacentral:rRNA from 1 species
UGGGGAAUAUUGGACAAUGGGGGCAACCCUGAUCCAGCCAUGCCGCGUGAGUGAUGAAGGCCUUCGGGUUGUAAAGCUCUUUUGGCGGGGACGAUGAUGACGGUACCCGCAGAAUAAGCCCCGGCUAACUUCGUGCCAGCAGCCGCGGUAAGACGAAGGGGGCUAGCGUUGUUCGGAAUUACUGGGCGUAAAGCGAGUGUAGGUGGUUGUCCAAGUUGGAUGUGAAAGCCUUGAGCUCAACUCAAGAAAUGCAUUCAGGACUGGGCGACUAGAGGACCGGAGAGGAUAGUGGAAUUCCCAGUGUAGUGGUGAAAUACGUAGAUAUUGGGAAGAACACCAGUGGCGAAGGCGGCUAUCUGGACGGUUUCUGACACUAAGACUCGAAAGCGUGGGGAGCAAACA